rnacentral:rRNA from 1 species
UACGUAGGGUGCAAGCGUUGUCCGGAAUUAUUGGGCGUAAAGAGCGUGUAGGCGGCCCGAUUAGUCCGCUGUGAAAGUCCAGGGCUCAACCCUGGAAUGCCGGUGGAUACUGUCGGGCUAGAGUCCGGAAGGGGCGAGUGGAAUUCCUGGUGUAGCGGUGAAAUGCGCAGAUAUCAGGAGGAACACCCGUGGCGAAAGCGGCUCUCUGGGACGGUACUGACGCUGAGACGCGAAAGCGUGGGGAGCAAACAGG